UUUGGCAGCACAUAUACUAAAUUGUGCUAAAAUUGGAACGAUACAGAGAAGAUUAGCAUGGCCCCUGCACAAGGAUUACAUGCAAAUUCGUGAAGUGUUCCAUAUAUUU